GACAGAGGGUGCAAACGUUGCUCGGAAUCACUGGGCGUAAAGGGCGCGUAGGCGGGAAUGUAAGUCGGGCGUGAAAUCCCUAGGCUCAACCUAGGAACUGCACUCGAAACUGCGUUUCUUGAGUAUCGGAGAGGAAAGCGGAAUUCCUGGUGUAGAGGUGAAAUUCGUAGAUAUCAGGAGGAACACCAGUGGCGAAGGCGGCUUUCUGGACGGUAACUGAGCGCUGAGGCGGCGAAAAGCGUUGGGGA
rnacentral:rRNA from 1 species